rnacentral:misc_RNA from 1 species
UGUCUUCUGCUAAGCCCUGCCUAUGCCAG